GAUGCCCCUAACAGGGCAUACUAUAUAAAACUCUAAACUUACUGUCUGAGAAGGCCAUGUGCCGUAAUCUUUAAACAUUUUAAAACUUUCAACAACGGAUCUCUUGGCUCUCGUAUCGAUGAAGAACGCAGCGAAAUGCGAUAAGUAAUGUGAAUUGCAGAAUUCAGUGAAUCAUCGAAUCUUUGAACGCACAUUGCGCCCUUUGGUAUUCCAUAGGGCAUGCCUGUUCGAGCGUCACUAACAACCCCAUCACAAAAAGUGUGGUAUUGGCAGAAGUGGGUAGGGCUAGCGGUGCUGGCCCCACUCUGCUGGAAUGAAUAGGCCGGAAAUGUAGACCAUUGUCACAGACUUUCAGAGUAUUUUGAAAUGCUAAAUUAGUUUGUAGGCCUGGUUGGAAUCUAGGCCAUUCGACCCCUAUUCUGUGUAAAGCAGUAAUGUUGACCUCGGAUCAGGUAGGAAUACCCGCUGAACUUAAGCAUAUCAAUAAGCGGAGGAAAAGAAACCAACAGGGAUUGCCCC
rnacentral:rRNA from 1 species